CCGGGACCCGACUCGCCUCCGAGACACGCUGGGAGCUUCCGGGCCUCAGGAAAAAGGCAGAAAUGGAGGAGAGAGAAAAAAGGAACAUCCUUCCCGCCUGCUAGUGGAGUAGAUCCCAGGGGUUGGUUGUUAUCUUUGGUUAUCUAGCUGUAUGAGUGGGGUCAAGUCUUCAUAAAGCUAGAUAACCGAAAGUAAAAAUAACCCCAUUACACGCCUGGGGAGGAGGAAGACAAGGAGGAGGAAGGCCACCGAAAGCAAGCAAGCAAGGAAAUGCCACCAUUUUAACAAAAGAAGUUUUUGAACAGAAUGGCUGGCAAGGAUGGAUUGAAAAACCAGUCCUUGAGGAUGAAAGAAAUCAACCGAAUGGAAGAGAUGGAGGAAAGAGAGAAGACAAAGACGAUUCACAGCAAUCGAGAAAUUAGAGGCCAACACCCCAGAAGGAGAGAGAAAGAGAGAGACAGAGAGAGGACAGGGAGAGAAACACACCACCGUCCCCUCUAGCAGCCUGAGAGGGAGGAUGAGGACCCAUGUUAAGCAUCACUCUCCAACGUGACCUCCCGGCUGAGUCCCGCCCACAUUGAAUGACCACAGGAGCGAAGUUCACAGCCUCUGCUUCAUGGGCUUUCUGUUUUUGCUGCUGUGGGCCACGUCCUUCUCUGGCGUGGCAAAGCAAGGCAGGUGAGAGGAGGAAGAAGAAGAGGAAGAAGAAGAAGGACAGGAAGAAGGCGGUGGUCUCACUCUCUGCCAUCCGAACGACCGGGCUGUGCCAAUGCAGGAGUGCCAGGAGAAGAAAGUCAUUUCCCCUGCAAAUCAAGCGACAACGGUGGGAAAGGACAUGUUCCUGCCAGGAUCUAACCAUCUCCAGCGCCUGGGGCAUCUGACUCCUCUGGGGGCGCAGAACCUACAAGACUGCAUUAAAGCGCCAGAUGUGAGAUGAGGAAAGCUGUGACUCACCAGCUUGGUUGGUCUCGGGAUGGAGAGACGUCCCACCUCCAAGGAAGACCGGGGUCUCCAAGUCAGGAUCUCUUCAGGGUCUCUCCCAGAAUCCCAGAGAGCAGCUGCAGCCAGUCAGAGCUGGACAUCCUGGGCAAGAUGCUGGCCAUUAGGGGAAAGAUCUCACCAUCAGAAGCCCUGGAGGAAGAGGAAGGAAAAGGUCCCUGGAUUUGGCCGGUGAAAGAGGAAGGAGAGAGCCAAGCCAAGACGGAGAGAA